ACGGCAGAGCUGACCACAGACCCGGCCCACGGGCCCCCGGGAUCAUCCCGCCCAGCCGAGCUCCUGGGCCGCCUGGGAGCCUAGGAGUGUCUUCUCAGAGAGAAAGCAGCAGCCGUCUUGCAUUUGCACGUCUCCAAUUUGGCGCGGGUUCCCUCGGCCUGCCCUCCGCACCGGAGACUCAGGUGCCUCCGCCCUCCUGGGGGCAGGGGCGGCCUGUCGGCUGAGUUGUGAUUGUCAAGCUCCGAGAACUUUCAGAGCUCAGUCCGCCCAGCGUUCUUGUUUACCAAUUGUGGAAACGGAGACCCAGAGAGGCUCCGCAGCGCGCCGGCACUCACACACCUGCUGGGGACAAGUGUGGACUAGGAUAUCCGGGACCUAAGUCUUGGCUUCCAGCUCCCUCUUGUCUCCCACCUACCUUUCCAGGAAGAGGCCCACGAAGGUUAAGACCCCAGGGCCCCUGUGCAACGUACUGCAGCCCUGUUCCGUCCACCAUUUCUGGGAUCAGCGCCCCACGGAGGGAAGGCAUCUGCCCAGACUGGCUUUUUGCACCCCCGCUCAAGCCUUGCACCCACGCCCAAGUCCUAGCCCCACUGAACGCUAUGCCUGGUCAGCAGUGCGUGUCCAGGGGUGCUGGUAGUGUGCGUAUUUUCCCUAUAACCAACCUGUCUCUGCCUCUCUCCAGGCCCUCAGAGCAACCAGGCCAGGGCGAGAAGCUUGGGAGAUAGAAACCCAGAGGACGCACUGUGGGGCCAUCUGAAGAUCCUGCGUCCCCUGUCCCACCCUUUUUGUCACCCAGGGUCCAUGACUGUGCCAGAAGCACGUCCCUGAGGCCCAUGGUGGUGGGAGGAGGGUGUGGGAUUGGGAUCUGGCCACCUGGCCGUGCUGCACACCAAUUGUGUAAUCAUGAUCAUCUGCUCUAAACACGUAUCUUUAACAUUCGAAAGGAAUGACCGUCUGGUGGGGUUGCCAUGUAGAGUACGUGAGAAAUUAAAUCUCACAGGUGCU